rnacentral:rRNA from 1 species
UGGUCAAGUUAUUAAGGGGGCAGGGCGGAUGCCUUGGCACUAGGAGCCGAUGAAGGACGUGAUAAGCUGCGAUAAGCUUCGGGGAGUUGCACGUAAACUUUGAUCCGAAGAUUUCCGAAUGAGGAAACU